rnacentral:rRNA from 1 species
GGUUAAGCGACUAAGCGUACACGGUGGAUGCCCUGGCAGUCAGAGGCGAUGAAGGACGUGCUAAUCUGCGAUAAGCGUCGGUAAGGUGAUAUGAACCGUUAUAACCGGCGAUUUCCGAAUGGGGAAACCCAGUGUGUUUCGACACACUAUCAUUAACUGAAUCCAUAGGUUAAUGAGGCGAACCGGGGGAACUGAAACAUCUAAGUACCCCGAGGAAAAGAAAUCAACCGAGAUUCCCCCAGUAGCGGCGAGCGAACGGGGAGCAGCCCAGAGCCUGAAUCAGUGUGUGUGUUAGUGGAAGCGUCUGGAAAGGCGCGCGAUACAGGGUGACAGCCCCGUACACAAAAAUGCACAUGCUGUGAGCUCGAUGAGUAGGGCGGGACACGUGGUAUCCUGUCUGAAUAUGGGGGGACCAUCCUCCAAGGCUAAAUACUCCUGACUGACCGAUAGUGAACCAGUACCGUGAGGGAAAGGCGAAAAGAACCCCGGCGAG